AAUUGAAGAGUUUGAUCAUGGCUCAGAUUGAACGCUGGCGGCAGGCCUAACACAUGCAAGUCGAGCGGUAGCACAGGGAGCUUGCUCCUGGGUGACGAGCGGCGGACGGGUGAGUAAUGUCUGGGAAACUGCCUGAUGGAGGGGGAUAACUACUGGAAACGGUAGCUAAUACCGCAUAACGUCUUCGGACCAAAGAGGGGGACCUUCGGGCCUCUUGCCAUCAGAUGUGCCCAGAUGGGAUUAGCUAGUAGGUGAGGUAAUGGCUCACCUAGGCGACGAUCCCUAGCUGGUCUGAGAGGAUGACCAGCCACACUGGAACUGAGACACGGUCCAGACUCCUACGGGAGGCAGCAGUGGGGAAUAUUGCACAAUGGGCGCAAGCCUGAUGCAGCCAUGCCGCGUGUAUGAAGAAGGCCUUCGGGUUGUAAAGUACUUUCAGCGAGGAGGAAGGC
rnacentral:rRNA from 1 species